GACGAACGCUGGCGGCGUGCUUAACACAUGCAAGUCGAGCGGUAAGGCCCUUUCGGGGGUACGACGAGCGGCGAACGGGUGAGUAACACGUGGGUGACCUGCCCUCAGCUCUGGGAUAAGCCUGGGAAACCGGGUACUAAUACUGGAUAUGACUCCAUGACGCAUGUUGUGGGGUGGAAAGCCUUGUGCGGCUGAGGAUGGGCCCGCGGCCUAUCAGCUUGUUGGUGGGGUGANGGCCUACCAAGGCGACGACGGGUAGCCGGCCUGAGAGGGCGACCGGCCACACUGGGACUGAGACACGGCCCAGACUCCUACGGGAGGCAGCAGUGGGGAAUCUUGCGCAAUGGGCGAAAGCCUGACGCAGCGACGCCGCGUGA
rnacentral:rRNA from 1 species